rnacentral:piRNA from 2 species
UUCUCCACUCCCACUGCUUCACUUGACC